AAGAGACAGCAGUAGCCACGGGAAUACAGAGGGUGCGAGCGUUAAUCGGAUUUACUGGGCGUAAAGCGUGCGUAGGCGGCUUUUUAAGUCGGAUGUGAAAUCCCUGAGCUUAACUUAGGAAUUGCAUUCGAUACUGGGAAGCUAGAGUAUGGGAGAGGAUGGUAGAAUUCCAGGUGUAGCGGUGAAAUGCGUAGAGAUCUGGAGGAAUACCGAUGGCGAAGGCAGCCAUCUGGCCUAAUACUGACGCUGAGGUACGAAAGCAUGGGGAGCAAACAGGAUUAGAUACCCGGGUAGUCCCUGUCUCUUAUAA
rnacentral:rRNA from 1 species